AAAACUCUGCUGUCUGAAAUAAAAGCAAGGCACUCUCCAUUAACAGCUGGUGGCUUCCUGAUUUCCGCCCACAGAAGGCAUGUUCACACUGAGAGAGCGGGUGUCCAGGAAGAGCUUGUCAAUGAUGGAAGGUGGAGACACCAAGUCUUCCAGCUUCAGGUAGAAGAUGCGCUGGAGGCCCAGGGUGCAGGUCUUUUAAACUGCUUGUGAUCUUGUUGCAUAGCUCUUCGACUCUCUUUGGUUCUUUUAACCCAUGUCUUUCUGC
rnacentral:lncRNA from 1 species